CCUACGGGGGGCAGCAGUGAGGAAUAUUGGUCAAUGGACGAGAGUCUGAACCAGCCAAGUAGCGUGAAGGAUGACUGCCCUAUGGGUUGUAAACUUCUUUUAUAAAGGAAUAAAACGAGGCACGUGUGCCUUUUUGCAUGUACUUUAUGAAUAAGGAUCGGCUAACUCCGUGCCAGCAGCCGCGGUAAUACGGAGGAUCCGAGCGUUAUCCGGAUUUAUUGGGUUUAAAGGGAGCGUAGAUGGGUUGUUAAGUCAGUUGUGAAAGUUUGCGGCUCAACCGUAAAAUUGCAAUUGAUACUGGCAGUCUUGAGUACAGUUGAGGUAGGCGGAAUUCGUGGUGUAGCGGUGAAAUGCUUAGAUAUCACGAAGAACCCCGAUUGCGAAGGCAGCUUACUAAACUGUGACUGACAUUGAUGCUCGAAAGUGUGGGUAUCAAACAG
rnacentral:rRNA from 1 species